rnacentral:lncRNA from 1 species
GGGAACCGGUCCCUGCCUGAGAGACCGGUCCCCCGGAGACCAGUCCCCCAAAGAGAGACCGGUCGCAUUGCGCGUAGCAGUUCUGGCUGCAUAGGGAGAGCUCUCGGGAACCGGUCCCUAGUCGGGGAGACCGGUCCCCGAGCACAAAAUCUGCCUAGUCCAGGCAGUGUGUUGAGGUGAAAGUUGAGGGGUUUAGCUGCAAUUUUGCAACCCAUAGGGA